rnacentral:rRNA from 1 species
AGUUCGAGCGGGUAACAUUUCUAGCUUGCUAGAAGAUGACGAGCGGCGGACGGGUGAGAAAAGCUUGGGAAUAUGCCUUAUGGUGGGGGACAACAGUUGGAUUCUACUGCUAAUACCGCAUAACGUCUACGGACCAAAGGGGGGGAUCUUCGGACCUCUCGCCAUUUAAUUAGCCCAAGUGAUAUUAGCUAGUUGGUGAGGUAAUGGCUCACCAAGGCGACGAUCUCUAGCUGGUUUGAGAGGAUGAUCAGCCACACUGGGACUGAGACACGGCCCAUACUCCUACGGGAGGCAGCAUUGGGGAAUAUUGCACAAUGGGCGAAAGCCUGAUGCAGCCAUGCCGCGUGUGUGAAGAAGGCCUUCGGGUUGUAAAGCACUUUCUGUUGUGAGGAAAGGAGUGUAGUUAAUAGCUGCAUUCUGUGACGUUAACAACAGAAGAAGCACCGGCUAACUUCGUGCCAGCAUCCGCGGUAAUACGAGGGGUGCAAGCGUUAAUCGGAAUUACUGGGCGUAAAGCGUUCUUAGGCGGUUCUAUUAUCAAGAUGUGAAAGCCCAGGCUCAACCUUGGAACUGCAUUUUGAACUGGUAGACUAUAGUACUGUAGAGGGUGGUGGAAUUCCAGUUGUAGCGGUGAAAUGCGUAUAUAUGGAAGGAACUAUCAUUGGCUAAGGCGGCA